rnacentral:lncRNA from 1 species
GGUNGUGUAUGAAUAGGCCUUGUAUGCAAAAACCAUGUAAUUCUCAAAAUCACCAUUUUUCCCACCAAUUUUCAAAUAAUCCACUUGAAAAAUGACUUUUUGCCAUGAUUAUUUUUAAUGAAAUUUGAUCAUGCAUCAUGAAAGUACAUGUGAAAUGGGGUUUGCUCAAAGAAAGAUCACCCAAUUUGGCCAUUCCAUGUGAAAAUUAUGCCACUUUGAAUUUAGGCAUUUUUGGAAAAUGAUUUGAUCACAACUUGCCAACCAUACACGAGAAAUUCAUGUUCUUGGACUUUUUGGAAAGGUGAGAGCAAGAUCUACAACUUUCAUGUUGAACAAAAUUUCAUUUGAAGCAUUUUUGGACAUGUAAUUUUGUGAUGAAAAACUUUCCAUUUUUGGAAACUUUCAAUUACAAGUCACUUUCCAUUUUUGGAAACUUUUCAUCUGACUUUAUUUUCCUCAUUCUUGAUGUUUGAAAUGCCAAAUGAAACUUGUGUCAACAUGAAUGAAGUGUAUCCAACCUUCUCCCACCUCCAAAUCCAUCAAUUCAAGCACAGUUGACCACAAUUGACUUUUCUGACUGAUAGAUGAAUUUCGCUAUGCACUGAUCAAGUUGAGCCUCAAACUCCUGAUGAAAUGGCUCAAUGAUGAAACCCUAGCUUCCAUAAGCUCAAUAUAAUCACAUGAUGAUCCCCAUAUCCAUUGCAGACCCCAUCUCCAUGCCAUGCCCUGAUUGGCCUAAUGCAGAUGAUUCAACUGAUUAGGGUUGACCAAUGGUCAAAACCCUAAUCUCAAGGUAUCUGAUCAAUCUUCUUGAAUCUCUUGGAUGAUAGCAAGACCAUGAUGAUGAUGAUGUAUCAUAGCAACCAAGAUCAAGCUCAAUCUUCUUGAGAAAUCAUGAAACCCUAAUUUGA